GGAGGGGUGCGAGAGUGGUUGAAUCGGGCGGUCUUGAAAACCGCUAAGGCUGAAAGGUCUUCGUGGGUUCGAAUCCCACCCCCUCCGCCA
rnacentral:tRNA from 1 species